GACAAGAGGCCUCAAGCGUUAGGCGGAAUCACUGGGCUUAAAGCGUGUGUAGGCGGAUCGUUAAGUGUCUUGUGAAAUCCCACGGCUCACCCGUGGAACGGCUGGGCAUACUGGCGAUCUUGGGCCAACUAGGGGCAACUGGAACAAGCGGUGGAGCGGUGAAAUGCGUAGAUAUCGCUUGGAACGCCGAAGGUGAAAACAGCUCGCUGGGCGUGCGCUGACGCUGAGACACGAAAGCCAGGGGAGGCGAAACGGG
rnacentral:rRNA from 1 species